rnacentral:rRNA from 1 species
AUUGAACGCUGGCGGCAUGCCUAACACAUGCAAGUCGAACGAGUGGCGGACGGGUGAGUAAUGUCUGGGAAACUGCCCGAUGGAGGGGGAUAACUACUGGAAACGGUAGCUAAUACCGCAUACCAUCGGAUGUGCCCAUAUGGGAUUAGCUAGUUGGUGGGGUAACGGCUCACCUAGGCCACGAUCCCUAGCUGGUCUGAGAGGAUGACCAGCAACACUGGAACGGAGACACGGUCCAGACUCCUACGGGAGGCAGCAGUGGGGAAUAUGGCACAAUGGGCGAAACCCUGAUACAGCCAUGCCGCGUGUAUGAAGAAGGCCUUCGGGUUGUAAAGGACUUUCAGCGAGGAGGCGUUACUCGCAGAAGAAGCACCGGCUAACUCCGUGCCAGCAGCCGCGGUAAUAC